AUUGAACGCUGGCGGCAGGCCUAAUACAUGCAAGUCGAAUGGUAACAGGAAACAGCUUGCUGUUUCGCUGACGAGUGGCGGACGGGUGAGUAAUGUCUGGGAAACUGCCUGAUGGAGGGGGAUAACUACUGGAAACGGUAGCUAAUACCGCAUAACGUCGCAAGACCAAAGAGGGGGACCUUCGGGCCUCUUGCCAUCAGAUGUGCCCAGAUGGGAUUAGCUAGUAGGUGGGGUAACGGCUCACCUAGGCGACGAUCCCUAGCUGGUCUGAGAGGAUGACCAGCCACACUGGAACUGAGACACGGUCCAGACUCCUACGGGAGGCAGCAGUGGGGAAUAUUGCACAAUGGGCGCAAGCCUGAUGCAGCCAUGCCGCGUGUAUGAAGAAGGCCUUCGGGUUGUAAAGUACUUUCAGCGGGGAGGAAGGGAGUAAAGUUAAUACCUUUGCUCAUUGACGUUACCCGCAGAAGAAGCACCGGCUAACUCCGUG
rnacentral:rRNA from 1 species